GUUCGUGUGCCGCUACUGAUAUAUUAUUCCCAGCGGUACUCUCUAAAAGACACGUAACUCCGUGUACAUAUUUUUUGUGCUAUUUUGGUAAACUCAGUAAACAAAUAAUACAAUGAAUUUUAUAUCUAACCUCCUGGAUUCGACUCCUGUAGUAGGAGCUGCGAAGGCAGCAAUUCACUACACCGUCGGGGACAUUGAAGGAGGGAACAAGGCGAUCGCCAAGUCCACCGAAUUAGUCCCUGGCGUGCGCCACGGCGGCGGGGCCCCCGGCGGCUGCUUCCCGGGCGCGGGCAACCCGACAGGAACUGGAAGCUCCGGAACUAUGGUGUUGGCAAUUAAAAAGUAAAAUGGAACUUUGUUGGAGUGCCUAAGUUUUACCUAUUUUAUUGAGAAAAAUAAAUGAAUUGGGUCUAAUCUUAA
rnacentral:lncRNA from 1 species